rnacentral:rRNA from 1 species
CCUACGGGGGACAGCAGUGGGGGAUAUUGCACAAUGGGGGGAACCCUGAUGCAGCGACGCCGCGUGGGUGAAGGAGAGUUGCGGCGCGUAAAGCCCUAUCGGCAGGGAAGAAGAUGACGGUACCUGACCAAGAAGCCCCGGCGAACGCCGUGCCAGCAGCCGCGGUAAUACGUAGGGGGCAAGCGUUAUCCGGAUGUACUGGGUGUAAAGGGGGCGAAGACGGCCAUGCAAGCCAGGAGUGAAAGCCCGGGGCCCAACCCCGGGACUGCUCUUGAAGCUGCAUGGCUGGAGUACAGGAGGGGCAGGCGGAAUUCCUAGUGUAGCGGUGAAAUGCGUAGUUAUUAGGA